CACGUGCACAUGACUCCCUCACACACACACACACACACAUUAAUACAAACUGGAGAAAACUGGUCUCAGGUUUGAUGAACCCUGAGAGGUCUACAGGUGAGUCCAGGUCUACAGGUGGGCCCAGGUGUAAAGGUGAGCCCAGGUCUACAGGUGGGCCCAGGUGUAAAGGUGAGCCCAGGUCUACAGGUGUCUACAAGUGAGCCCAGGUCUACAGGUGUCUCACCCGGUCUGACCUAUGUCUGUAGUAUCUCAAACCUCAACAGGAACUAUCGACUGCUUUACUUUGAAAAUAUUGAUCCUGUUCAUUUUAUUCUGAAGUUUCUUCCCUCAAACAUUUCCUCUUUUGAGUCUGUCCUCUGAUUGGUCAACUCUCUGAACUUUUCUCGUAACUUUCUGGGCUCGUGUCUUCGUCGAGUUGGAACUGAAUCGUUUAGUAAAAUGUUUCCCUGAACGCUUGAAUUGUAGAUCUUCUUACAUGAAGUCGUCCUGAAACACAAACAGCAUUUGGACUCCUUUCUUUUCAUACAAACAACAA